AUUGAACGCUGGCGGCAGGCCUAACACAUGCAAGUCGAGCGUGAAAGUUCUUCGGAAUGAGUAAAGCGGCGGACGGGUGAGUAACGCGUAGGAAUCUGCCCUGAAGUGGGGGAUAACCUGGGGAAACUCAAGCUAAUACCGCAUAGACCUGAGGGUGAAAGAUGGGGAUCUUCGGACCUAUCGCUUCAGGAGGAGCCUGCGUCGGAUUAGCUUGUUGGUAGGGUAAAGGCCUACCAAGGCGACGAUCCGUAGCUGGUCUGAGAGGAUGACCAGCCACACUGGGACUGAGACACGGCCCAGACUCCUACGGGAGGCAGCAGUGGGGAAUAUUGGACAAUGGGCGCAAGCCUGAUCCAGCCAUGCCGCGUGUGUGAAGAAGGCUCUAGGGUUGUAAAGCACUUUAAGUUGUGAGGAAGUAACAGUUGUAAAUAAUGACUGUUAUUGACGUUAGCAACAGAAUAAGCACCGGCUAACUCCGUGCCAGCAGCCGCCGUAA
rnacentral:rRNA from 1 species